UACAGAGGGGGCAAGCGUUGUCCGGAAUUAUUGGGCGUAAAGAGCUCGUAGGCGGUUUGUCGCGUCUGCUGUGAAAACCCGAGGCUCAACCUCGGGCCUGCAGUGGGUACGGGCAGACUAGAGUGCGGGUAGGGGAGAUUGGAAUUCCUGGUGUAGCGGUGGAAUGCGCAGAUAUCAGGAGGAACACCAAUGGCGAAGGCAGAUCUCUGGGCCGUAACUGACGCUGAGGAGCGAAAGCAUGGGGAGCGAACAGG
rnacentral:rRNA from 1 species